rnacentral:rRNA from 1 species
UACGAAGGGGGCUAGCGUUGCUCGGAAUCACUGGGCGUAAAGGGUGCGUAGGCGGGUCUUUAAGUCAGUGGUGAAAGCCUGUAGCUUAACUAUAGAAUUGCCAUUGAAACUGAAAGUCUUGAGUACAGUUGAGGUGAGCGGAAUGUAUCAUGUAGCGGUGAAAUGCUUAGAUAUGAUACAGAACACCGAUUGCGAAGGCAGCUCACUAAACUGCAACUGACACUGAGGCACGAAAGCGUGGGGAUCAAACAGG